UGGGGUGUGGCUCAGUGGUAGAGUACUCGCCUGGCAUGCAUGAGGCACUGGGUUCGAUCCCCAGAACCACAU
rfam:Ictidomys tridecemlineatus contig090669, whole genome shotgun sequence.